rnacentral:pre_miRNA from 1 species
UUAAUACUCCCUCCGUCCGGAAAUACUUGUCCUAGAAAUGGAUGUAUCUAGACUUAUUUUAGUUAUAGAUACAUCCAAUUUAUCCAUUAUUAGAACAAAUAUUUCCCACCAACCGGAGAGGGAGUACCUA